rnacentral:tRNA from 1 species
ACCUGGCUGGCUCAGUUGGUGUAGAGCAUGUGACUCUCGAUCUCCAGGUCAUGAGUUCAAGCCCCACGUUGGGCA